UCUCCUUUGAAAAAUUUGUAAAGGAAAAUGGGGAGUAAAGCAGGGAUUGUGAGGAAACCAAGAUUUCUCGGCUUCCAUGGAUUUAGAACAAGCAUAGCAAUUCUCAAGAAACAGAUAGAGAGAGCGAUCCGCCUUAUUACGAAUGGUUUCAGUUCAACAAGGUAAAAAUCAAAUGACAAUCGCUCGUU